AUUGAACGCUGGCGGCAUGCCUAACACAUGCAAGUCGAACGGGAACAGGAAGAAGCUUGCUGCUUUGCUGACGAGUGGCGGACGGGUUAGUAAUGUCUGUGAAACUGCCUGGUGGAGGGGGUUAACUACUGGAAACUGUAGCUAAUACCGCAUAACGUCGCAAGACCAAAGAGGGGGACCUUCGGGCCUCUUGCCAUCGGAUGUGCCCAGAUGGGAUUAGCUAGUAGGUGGGGUAACGGCUCACCUAGGCGACAAUCGCUAGCGGGUCUGAGAGGAUGACAGCCACACUGGGACAGAGAAACGGCCCAGACCCCCGAGGGGGGGCACGGUGGGGAAAUUUGGACAAGGGGGGCAAGGCUGAUCCAGGCACUCGGGGGGGAGGAAGAAGGCCUUCGGGGUUGAAAAUGAUUUUGGGCGGGGGGAAAAGGAGCUAGUUAAUACCUGUGGCUCAUGACAGUACCGGGAGAAUAAGCACCGGGUAACUCCGUG
rnacentral:rRNA from 1 species